GUCGAGAAUAAUUCACAAUGGGGGCAACCCUGAUGGAGCGACGCCGCGUGGAGGAUAAGGUCUUCGGAUUGUAAACUCCUGUCAUGCGUGAACAAGGUUGCUUGGUUAAUACCUGGGCAAAUUGAUGGUAACGCAAGAGGAAGAGACGGCUAACUCUGUGCCAGCAGCCGCGGUAAUACAGAGGUCUCAAGCGUUGUUCGGAAUCACUGGGCGUAAAGGGUGCGUAGGUGGCGUGGUAAGUCAGAUGUGAAAGCCCGGGGCUCAACCUCGGAACUGCAUCCGAUACUGCCAUGCUAGAGUACGGGAGAGGUGACUAGAAUUCUCGGUGUAGCAGUGAAAUGCGUAGAUAUCGAGAGGAAUACCAAAGGCGUAGGCAGGUCACUGGACAGUUACUGACACUGAGGCACGAAGGCCAGGGGAGCGAACGGGAUUAGAAACCCGUGUAGUCC
rnacentral:rRNA from 1 species